rnacentral:lncRNA from 1 species
AGAAAGACCAAUCCAAAAACUAAAUAAGAGAGAUCCUCAUUCGUCAAGAAGAUUCAAAGCUGCUACAAUUCGAAAGCAAUGGCGAAGCUCAAAGAAAAUGACGAUCCCAGAAUCAAGAAGAACAACAGGAACCAUGGCUCUACGGGCUUCUUCGUCUUCGUUGAUUACCUUUUCAUCUUCAUUUUCAUCUGUUUCUUAUGCUUCAUCAUCUACAAGUUUAUCGGCAUUUGAAUCCUGAUUCGAAAUAAAAUAAAUAAAUAACACAAUGCAUCAGGUAUCAACUUUACUCGUUAAUUAGAUGCUUCAUAUGUUCUAUGUUCAUGUCUUAAGAAGCAUUUGCAGCAUUUCCUUGAUCUCUUGGUUUACUUGUAUUCUCAUCUUUGAUUUAAUUAAUAAUUUUAUGCAAUCGUGACCUACGUUGCUUUUUCUUGUUAUUAUUUAUGUACAUAAUGUUGUAUCAUGGAAAUCAUUGGAUGUAAUUUUUGGUAGUUGUAUUAAUUAUUAUUAUUUUGCUGAUUUUCUUUUCUUUUCUUUGGUGCAGGAUAUUUUCUAUUUGACAUGCCCUAUGGCAGAUCUGGUUCCAAGCUGCAAUGCCAUGGCAGGUGUCGGUUUUGGUUUAUCAGACUCUACCAUGUUUUUCUUGAAUGUAUCAUCCUAUUCUUUACUUAGAAAGUUUUGCUCUAGAAUCCCAAAUUUUGCAUAGUUGAUUAUAUUUUGUGAGUUACAUUUGAUCCCUCCUCACAUUCAAUUCUACUAAAACAAUGUAGCUAAAAUACCUAUAACAUUUUUCUAUUUAGUGUUUUUGUAUCAUCUUCUCCCUUGGCUAUGAUAAUCAAGGAUGACAAUGUGUGACAGCUAAAAUCAGUAUCAAAAUAUAAAGGGGUUGGUUAUAGAAAUCCAAAUUGAUUUUGAUUCUUACAGCAGACUAAUCUCUCUUUUCAUCUAAGAGUUGUGUUACUUGGACAUCUAUAAUUCGAUUUGAAUUUAGAUCCUCUAAAGUGAGGAGAUUAGUAAAGUUAUAAAGUAAGUGAUUAAUCACUAUUGAAUUUGUAACUCCUAAACCCUACUUUCUUAAUUUAAGAAUGAUUUACCCUUCACUUAAUCACUUUGUCAAUUUUCUCACUUUAGAGAAGUUUGAUCCGAUUUAUUUGUCCUAUGAAUACCUAACUCAAUCUUGUGGAGUUGAUGAACUAGAUGUCAACACGGUGUAUAACUAUGAAAAAUGAACUAGUUACAUUUCCUUUCAUUUAAUACUUGAAUGUGUCAUCUUUUCUCUGUGUUAAGAAAAUUUUAAUCUGGAGUACCAUAUUUUCAUAGUUGAAUUCUUGUCACAUUUAACUGUAGUAUAGUAAGACAAUGUAGCUAUAACAUUUUCUGUUUGGUAUCAUCUUCUGCCUUGGCCAUGAUACAGAAGGAUGACAACUAAAUCAGAUGAAUGUAGUUUUGAGUUACAUUUGAUCCCUUAUCACAUCUAGCUUCAGUAAGUCAAUAUAGCUAUAAAAUUUUCUAUUUAUUAGUAUCAUCUUCUACUCUUAUAGAAUGAUGAGAGUGUGACGGCUAAAAGGUUGGUUUUAGAGAUGCAAAAUUGAUUGUGACAGCAAAAUAAUCAUUCUUUUUUGCCUCAUAAAUAUUGGAAUGAGGGACUCCUUUUGAAAAAUGCUGAUAUUCUGGUCUCUGGAUCAAAGGACAAACUUGCUUAAUGGUGCUAACUAGUGUCUCAAUAUCUUUCAAAGGGGAGAGGGCCAAAACUUCGGAAUAUAUUGUGAAUUAUGUCUAUUUUUUCAAUUUUCUCGUUGAUAUGUGGGGGCCCCCAAACUAAUUCUUUGCAUGUGAUAGACCCUUGUGUUACUUCAGCCUAUUGCAUGUUGAUGGUACAGCUACUAAGGAUUUAAGUGCAUCAUUUUCUGUCUUUCAGGAUGAUGUGAGAUGCUGAGGAAAAAUAAAUGAAUUUGUUCCCAUAAUCCCAUAGUUGUUAUUCCUUCAUGCAUUUAUUUAUAAUGUAUCAUUUAUGGACAGUUAGGUUUGUUUUUAAGAGUGAAAUUGGAGGUUUGAAAGGUCUGUGAUGUGUUUCAAUGUUCAGUUUCAAGGGGAUUGAUUAUUAUCUCCUGCUUGGUAUCAGUUUGUUGUGAUUGCCAACAUUAGUUCAGUGUGAUUUGUUGCUUAAAUAUGAAGUCUGCAUUAAUUUUUGGUCAAUUAGUUUGCAU